GACGAACGCUGGCGGCGUGCUUAACACAUGCAAGUCGAACGGAAAGGCCCUGCUUUUGUGGGGUGCUCGAGUGGCGAACGGGUGAGUAACACGUGAGUAACCUGCCCUUGACUUUGGGAUAACUUCAGGAAACUGGGGCUAAUACCGGAUAGGAGCUCCUGCUGCAUGGUGGGGGUUGGAAAGUUUCGGCGGUUGGGGAUGGACUCGCGGCUUACCAGCUUGUUGGUGGGGUAGUGGCUUACCAAGGCUUUGACGGGUAGCCGGCCUGAGAGGGUGACCGGCCACAUUGGGACUGAGAUACGGCCCAGACUCCUACGGGAGGCAGCAGUGGGGAAUAUUGCACAAUGGGCGGAAGCCUGAUGCAGCAACGCCGCGUGCGGGAUGACGGCCUUCGGGUUGUAAUCCGCUUUCGCCUGUGACGAAGCGUGAGUGACGGUAAUGGGUAAAGAAGCACCGGCUAACUACGUG
rnacentral:rRNA from 1 species